UACGUAGGGUGCAAGCGUUGUCCGGAAUUAUUGGGCGUAAAGAGCUCGUAGGCGGUCUGUCGCGUCGGCUGUGAAAACCCGGAGCUCAACUCCGGGCCUGCAGUCGAUACGGGCAGACUGGAGUUCGGCAGGGGAGACUGGAAUUCCUGGUGUAGCGGUGAAAUGCGCAGAUAUCGUGAGGAACACCGGAGGCGAAGGCGGCUACCUGGACAAUUGCUGACGCUCAGGCACGAAAGCGUGGGGAGCAAAAGGG
rnacentral:rRNA from 1 species